rnacentral:rRNA from 1 species
GACGAACGCUGGCGGCGUGCUUAACACAUGCAAGUCGAACGGUGAAGGUGGAGCUUGCUCCGCCGGAUCAGUGGCGAACGGGUGAGUAACACGUGGGCAACCUGCCCCAGACUUCGGGAUAACUCCUCGAAAGAGGCGCUAAUACCGGAUACGAGUUCUGCAGUCAUCUGCGGAAGUGGAAAGUUUUUCGGUCUGGGAUGGGCCCGCGGCCUAUCAGCUUGUUGGUGAGGUAACGGCUCACCAAGGCGACGACGGGUAGCCGGCCUGAGAGGGCGACCGGCCACACUGGGACUGAGACACGGCCCAGACUCCUACGGGAGGCAGCAGUGGGGAAUAUUGCGCAAUGGGCGAAAGCCUGACGCAGCAACGCCGCGUGCGGGAUGAAGGCCUUCGGGUUGUAAACCGCUUUCAGCAGGGAAGAAGCGAAAGUGACGGUACCUGCAGAAGAAGCACCGGCUAACUACGUGCCAGCCGCCGCAGUAA